AUUUCUUUGGUGUAGAUCAACUAUAUUGAGGUCCCUAAGUAGCGUGGAAGAGUUGUUUGGGUCAUCCAACCAUUAGUUGUGCCAUUUGCAAACCCUAGCUAUUGGAGGAAGUGAAGAACAAAGAUUUGCUUUCUGUACAUUCUGCUUUGCAUACUCAGUACAUAUUUCGUACUGGACCCCCUUUCUUCGGGGGCUGCGUUUCAUGGCCGCAGGUACAGACGCACAGUUUGGUGAUCCACCGGUUUAGGACACCCCUUUUUGCUAUUGGAGUGCUCUUCUCCCUUCAGAGCAUAUCUUUUGGUAUAUAUUUUUGUUCGCUAUGUGUGUAUAUAUUCGUUCAGGGGUACGGCGGGGCCCUGUCCCGCCAUAUGAUUCGUGUGGUCUGUUUAGAGGUCUGUAGACGUAUUUGUAGGUGUGUGUGCCUACCUCUGUUCAGAUGUGUUAGUAUGAUCCUACUCGUUAUGGCA